UGCAAUUAGUUUCAUCGGAAACAAAUAUGUUUAUCUCUCAAUCAAAUAUCGUAGUAAUUUAUUUAUAGAUUUGCGCAUCCAUAUGUAAUGUACAUACGUGUAUAUCGUACGUGAAAUGGUAAACUGUCCCCAAUUAUUUACCAUUUUAUCAUACACUUUACUGAUCUUUAACAUUUCACUGAAAGAGGUAACAUCAACAGAAAUAGAACGUAGAUAUACGCUUACUGAAACCACAAAAUGCAAGAGAGAGAGAGAGAGAGAGAGAGAGAGAUCAAACUCGACUGCGUCCAUUUCGCGAAGAAGACCUUCUGCCGGACCUUUUGGGCCUCGCUUUUCGUUUCUUCCCUUCCAUUUCCAUCGGGAGCUUUCCCGAUUAUCGGUGACCCACCACCUUUGUGCGCAUCGAACGAUCGGAGCACAAUGGUCGUCACAAUACCACUGCAUCGAGCCGUAAAACCAUAGACUUUUGGAAAUCGUGAAACGAUCCGAAACGCGACCUACGUAAGUAUAUUGCGAUAAAAUCGUACGUAUCCUGUGUACGUAGCAGGAAUCAGCUUCUCAAUUCUCUGGUCUGGAGAUUUUCGAUUAGGCGAAUAUAUUCGAAAGCGUUGUAUUUCAGAUAGACGUAAAGAAAGUGGAAACGCGUAGAGAAAUUCUUGUAAACUUUAUUAGUUGACAGUUUAAACGUUUGAGAAAG
rnacentral:misc_RNA from 1 species